rnacentral:rRNA from 1 species
GAUGAACGCUGGCGGCGUGCUUAACACAUGCAAGUCGAACGGAGAUAUCAUGUGAGCGGAGAGUGCUUGCACUUAACAAUCUUUUGGUAUCUUAGUGGCGGACGGGUGAGUAACGCGUGGGUAACCUGCCUCAUACAGGGGGAUAACACUUAGAAAUAGGUGCUAAUACCGCAUAAGCGCACAGAGUCGCAUGACUCAGUGUGAAAAACUCCGGUGGUAUGAGCUGGACCCGCGUCUGAUUAGCUAGUUGGUGGGUAACGGCCUACCAAGGCGACGAUCAGUAGCCGACCUGAGAGGGUGACCGGCCACAUUGGGACUGAGACACGGCCCAAAUCCUACGGGAGCAGCAGUGGGAAGUAUUGCACAAUGGGCGAAAGCCUGAUGCAGCGACGCCGCGUGAGUGAAGAAGUAUUUCGGUAUGUAAAGCUCUAUC